rnacentral:rRNA from 1 species
GACGUAGGGUGCGAGCGUUGUCCGGAAUUAUUGGGCGUAAAGAGCUCGUAGGCGGUGUGUCACGUCGGCCGUGAAAACCUGCAGCUUAACUGUGGGCGUGCGGUCGAUACGGGCAUCACUGGAGUUCGGCAGGGGAGACUGGAAUUCCUGGUGUAGCGGUGAAAUGCGCAGAUAUCAGGAGGAACACCGGUGGCGAAGGCGGGUCUCUGGGCCGAUACUGACGCUGAGGAGCGAAAGCGUGGGGAGCAAACAGG